rnacentral:rRNA from 1 species
CCUACGGGUGGCAGCAGUGAGGAAUAUUGGUCAAUGGACGAGAGUCUGAACCAGCCAAGUAGCGUGAAGGAUUACUGCCCUAUGGGUUGUAAACUUCUUUUAUAUGGGAGUAAAGUGUUCCACGUGUGGGAGUUGGUGUGUACCAUAUGAAUAAGGAUCGGCUAACUCCGUGCCAGCAGCCGCGGUAAUACGGAGGAUCCGAGCGUUAUCCGGAUUUAUUGGGUUUAAAGGGAGCGUAGGUGGAUUGUUAAGUCAGUUGUGAAAGUUUGCGGCUCAACCGUAAAAUUGCAGUUGAAACUGGUAGUCUUGAGUACAGGAGAGGUAGGCGGAAUGCGUGGUGUAGCGGUGAAAUGCUUAGAUAUCACGAAGAACUCCGAUUGCGAAGGCAGCUUACUGGACUGCAACUGACACUGAGGCUCGAAAGUGUGGGUAUCAAACAGGAUUAGAUACCCCUGUAGUC